GAUGAACAAAUUUGUGGUCAUCAAGCCAACCAAGAAGAAUCAUCUUCCAUUGAAAAAACGGACCGAACUCAAGAUUUGAGGAUAAAUCUUUUUGAAAAGGAAGGGAAUGAUGUGCCCCGGUUCGUGGAUCAGUCCAUUGGAGCCAACCAGCAUAGAGAUAAGGACGUUCUGAACAAUUUGACCGAUUGUAAAAAUCUAAUCUCGAUGAAUUAAGAUCGAGGAGCAUGACAAAACUAAAAAGUGCAGUCCAGUUGUAAGACCUAUUAGAUGCAACAAGAAUGUUAGUUUCCCGUACAAGACCAGGUCGUGAGAGUGAUAGUGAUCCAGAAGACCUUGAACAUGCUGAGAAGCUUCGCCAAAUUAAAGCAGUUCUUGAAGAGGGAGAAAAUUUCUCAUGGAUAUACAGGAAGGUUCAACUGAAGCCGCUGAAGUGGGAUGGUGAAGGCGAAGAAGAAAAACCUGUAGAGGCCCUUAUGAUUCUUCAAUACGGUGGUGUUCUAACUCACGCUGGCAGAAGAGCUUGGUAGAUUCAUCCGAUACAAUAUGUAUCCAGUGAAGGGACUGGUUUGCUUCGUCUCCAUAGUACAUACCGUCAUGACCUUAAAAUUUACAGCUCUGACGAGGGACGUGUUCAGAUGUCUGCAGCUGCUUUUGCUAAAGGUCUACUUGACCUAGAAGGACAGCUGACGCCAAUCCUGGUUUUCCCUUCUUAAUAUUAUAUUGCUGGUGCUUAAUUUGCAAUGUCAUCAUGUGUUUACUAAUAACUAGACAUUUUUCCUGGGCUACGCCCGGGGUUAUAAAAAUAUAAAUGUAUUUAAUAUGAUAACGCACAUAUAUUGCAUCCUUUGCUGAAAUAAUAAAUCAUAUAUUGAAUUAGAAAAAAGUAAAACUGACAAUUUAUCAUUUUUACUAUCUAAAAAUACAUAUAGAAAGAUCAACAAAUGUGAAAUGAAUAAAGAAUAGUUAAAUCUAAAUUAUGAUCCAAAUAUUUUUUUAUUUUAUAUAUUGGAUUAUCAUGAAAACAAAUUAUUAAUCAUAGAUAAAGUUUAUCUGGUUAGGAUAGAAAUAAACCAUGUAUUACACGUGUAAAAUCUGAGAACAUAUUGUAUCACUAUUCUAACAUAGUAGAUGUUGAAAGAUUUAUAUUUUUUUGCUUGAAAUCAGUGAGCUUGAACUAUUUAUUAACAAUGAAGUUUUAAGUAGCAGUAUUAGAAAUUUUAUAUGGUAUUUAAAAUUAAUAUGAGUUGAUGCCGCUUGCAAUGAUGUUUUGAUGACUGCUACCCAUUAUAGAACAAUCCUCAAAAAGUCUGCCAAAAGACCUCAAAAGCUUACAUCAACAUUUUGUUUAAUGCUAAAUUUGAAGUGUUUUUAAAUUUUAAAACUAUUAUUAAUAAUUGUAAAACAGAUUUUAUAAAUUGUUUUAUGAAAAGAAAGUUUUCUAUCAUUUAUUUUCACAUUUAUUUUGGUUCGUUACCAGUGAUUAUUAAUUUGAUUAUCUUCUUUAGGAGUAUGUUCAUAAUUUUAUGCAUAAAUAUCUUCUUUAUGAUCAAUCCAUGUUCAGCGUUUGCAUUUCUGAGUUUCUUUGCAACCAAAUUUUCUUUGUUUUUAAUUCGCUUAUAGCCAUUAAUUAGGCUAUAAACAAACAAACCUAUUUUAUUUUUGUUUGUUAUUUUUAAUCGAUUUGUUAUUUGAUGUUGUUUAGAAAUUUUUGUGAUUUAUUAAUCUAGAUGGAAGUGAUGACUUAAUUUUUGGGUAUGUGUGUAUAUCAGAUGGGUUUGAUAAAUUUUACUUUUUUGGUAAUUAUAUUGUAUUUUAGGUGAGCAAUUAGAGUAGAAAAUAUUUGACUAUAAGCUAAUUGUGGAUAUGUUUUAUUUGUUUCUUUUUGUUCUUUUUCUAGUGUUUAAUGUGAUAUGUAUUAUUUUAUUGUUGAUAUUUCAUCUUAAAAAUAUAGUUCUACAUUUUGUGCUACUCGGUGGUGUUUUCGGUUUGGUUGUGUCCCAGAACAUAGGAGAUGCUGUCCAAGAUAGAGGAUCUCUUCGUCUAAAGAAUAUACUUAGCAAUAUAAAUGCUUGGCAUCUUUCAAAAUGAUGUAGUGUUACAUUUGAGAAUAAAUAAAAACAGCUUUAGUUGUAAUAUCAGAUGCCAUUUGACAAUAUAAAUUUUUCAUAAAUAGUUUCAAAAAUAUAUAGAAACAAUUAUUCAUCUAAAAUUUGCUUGCUUUCUCUCGUCUUUCAUUGUCACUGCUUAAUAAAAUUUAUAGAGAAAAUAUAUUUUCGGAGCAAUUCUGGUCACAGUGGUUUACAAAAAGAACAUUGGUUGUCCCAAAAAAAAAGGACAUUGGUUUUUCUCCUUUUGCCUCUUUAAUACAAAUACGUUAACAUGUUCUCUGUUUUGCUUUUGUCUCUUUGCUACCCCAGUGAUUAGAUGAAUUAUUUUUUCUUUAUGUGAUCUUUGUAGUGAAUAAGAUCUGGAAUCUCCAUCAUUGUUUGUUAGUUAUAAUUAUAACAUAUCGGUACUUUGCGAAAUGAAUCUUGUUCACCCUAACACAUCACCUCAUUUCGCAAAAUGAAUCUUGUUCUUUUGGUGAUAGACAUUGUGUUAGAAAGAACAAUUUUUUUACUUCAACUACACUCUACAAACAAAAGACAUAAAAACCAAAAUUUUGAGAGAUUAUUCAAGUUUCUGAAUAGUUGUAGGAUCUCAUUCUUGAUCCUAUCCCUGAAACAUUCUCGUUUUUUUCUGUAUAAAUUGAAUAGUUAAACCAAGAAGUAGGAUCUCAUUCUUGAUCCUAUCCCUGAAACAUUCUCGUUUUUUUCUGUAUAAAUUGAACUUGUGCAUAUCCAAAUCAAUCUCAAAGUAAUUUGGUCCUGUCCAAAUGAUCAACACACACAUCAACAGUAGCACAGAGCCUGAAAAUUAAAUGUGCGAUUAGCUAUUGAAAACUAAAUGAAAGAUUUGUAAUCCAUCCCAAAUUCAAUAUCAGAAUAACUAUCGUUGUAAGUUGUGAAAAAAAAAUUAGUAGAGCUUAGCUGAAGACUCUGAUAUUCACCAAACCAGCCAUCAUCUUCGACCUUUCUCUAAAUGAAACUGUAGAUUUUCUUCUGAAUCAUUUUACUUUCUCCAUUUUUUCAUACAUAAAUCUCUACAAAAAAAAAGAAUAUGG